rfam:Aedes aegypti strain Liverpool supercont1.1376 genomic scaffold, whole genome shotgun sequence.
CCUCUCGUAGUGUAGAGGUAACGCGCCCUGUCUAGUGAACAGGGAGUCGUGGGUUCAAUUCUCAUCGAGAAGA